GGGAAGGUGCCAGCGCGGGGGUUUGCACGGCGGGGGGGCGGUGCUCUCUAGGGGCCAGUUUCUCUCGGGCGUCUCCGUGAAGCCUCCGUGAAGAGGCAAACACGAGGGGCUACGUUUACGGGAAGCUUGAAGUCAUAAGGGUGUUCUAGUGGUGAGAGAGUUUGUUUUCUCUAGAAACGCGUUGAAAAAAAAAUCAGCUUACUUUAUGUAAUUCAUCCGAGUAACACUUCCUGCCUCUCCGCCCCGGAGUUGUUCGCCGAAAAGUAGUAUGUAAACAAGAAGUGGACUCUUUUUUUUCCACCCCUGUGUGCCUUGAGCUAGUUUUGCGAGAUGAACACUGUAAACGAAGAAGUUAAGCCAGCAGAUGCUAAACCGGAAUCUGAAAAAUUAUUUCAUUAUUGUGAACAUGGACUUGGAGUAGCAAAAACCUAUUCAAAGUCAACUCAGUUGUUGGGGUGUAUCUCUUUUCCCAUAAACUGAGAACACGAGUCCAGACUGUCAUGUAUCAACGAAAAUAGCAGAGUUAUGGGAAGAGACCGAGAACCUGGAGUAUAAUUUGCUCACAGCUGAAGUGGAUAUCUCACUUGAAAGACUCUGAUGUUGCACUAGGUAAAGAAUAAUAGCUUUUGAAUGUACAGGAAGCAGAGAAUGUGGAUUUUAUCAGUACUCCCUACUCUGUCAAUGUGAAGAUGAAAAAGUGAAAUAGACAUACAGUCAGUCAUCACAAGAAAUGAGCUUUUCAUUUCUUACUCAUCUUUUUUAGCCUGCUCUCUGAAGAAACAAGACUUAAACACACUCUGCUUUGUCAUCUAUUCCCCAGUUACUUUUGAACUUCUUAGCCAUUUUGAACAAGAUUGAUUGCGAGUUCCUGGAUAUAGGCAUUUGCUCAGAGAAGAGAGAUGCCGUUAAUCUGUUGUUGAGGAAGUGUUGCAGGCUGAGCUCACCACUUACUGCAUACAGAAGAAUCAAUAUAGGAUAUAAGAUAUAUAAGAUUCAGGAAAAAGCACUGGUCAGAGUCUGUUUACCAGGAGACCGAGCUUCAUUAGCUGCUGUGGUUGUUUGAUGUUGAUCACAGAAGGUGUUGAUCAGUGCAAAACUUGUCAUUAAAGUGUAUGAAAAUUAUCAGGCAUUCUGUGGUGUUUUGCCUCAGCAGACAGGAACACUGCAUAUAUAUCUUCUGGUUUUGGGAAUACUGGUAGUGGGGCUGCUUGUCAGAAAUUCUGCAAAAGCUUUGAAAAUAUGUAGGUUCCCCCAAAGUGCAGUGGAUUUGAGCACUCUAGAAUUGUAUUUAUACCUUAGCAGCAAUACAUCAAUAGAUUUGUUUGACCAAGGACUGGAGAUUUUAGUGGAAACCUUUUUUUAAUAAAUUACUUUGUAUUUCUUUUUCUUCUUAGAAA
rnacentral:lncRNA from 1 species